UCUAAUAUGGCAGAAUAGUGCAUUGGAUUUAAAUCCCAAAUAUAAAUAAUUUUUAUUAGAA
rnacentral:tRNA from 1 species